rnacentral:SRP_RNA from 1 species
GUCCAGGUGCUAUGCAAGUAGCCUCUGCAAAACUCCGCCAGAUCGGGAACGAAGCAACGGUAUGCGGACGGAAACUGUGCCGUAGAUUACCUGGGCUCU